AACGAACGCUGGCGGCAGGCCUAACACAUGCAAGUCGAGCGCCCCGCAAGGGGAGCGGCGGACGGGUGAGUAACGCGUGGGAACGUGCCCUUUGCUUCGGAAUAGCCUCGGGAAACUGAGAGUAAUACCGAAUGUGCCCUACGGGGGAAAGAUUUAUCGGCAAAGGAUCGGCCCGCGUUGGAUUAGGUAGUUGGUGGGGUAAAGGCCUACCAAGCCGCAGAUCCAUAGCUGGUUUGAGAGGAUGAUCAGCCACACGGGGACUGAGACACGGCCCAGACUGCGACGGGAGGCAGCAGUGGGGAAUCGUAGACAAUGGGCGCAAGCCUGAUCUAGCCAUGCCGCGUGAGCGAUGAAGGCCUUAGGGUUGUAAAGCUCUUUCAGCGAGGAAGAUAAUGACUGUACUCGCAGAAGAAGCCCCGGCUAACUCCGUGCCAGCCGCCGCUGUAAGAC
rnacentral:rRNA from 1 species